CGGUGCCAUUGUUUGCAGAAGCUCCUGCAUUACAGGUGAAUGGCCGCCAUGGCUGUCAAGAUCAAGGUGGUUUAUUGCCUGGCCUGAGGAAACUAUAACAAGUAUCUGAAGCUCAAGAAGGACCUUGAAAAGGAGUUUCCAGACAAGCUGGAAAUUACUGGAGAAGGGACUCCUGAGGCCACAGGAUGGUUCGAAGUGACCGUGGCAGAGAAGUUGGUGCACUCCAAAAAGAAUGGAGAUGGCUACGUGGAUAAUGACACCAAACUCGGCAAGAUAACAACGGCCAUCAAAGCAGCUUUAGAAGAAAGCAGUAAAGCUUCAGAAAAAAGCAGUAAAGCUUCAGAAGAAAGCAGUAAAGCUCCAGAAAAAAACAGCAAAGCUUCAGAAAAAAGCAGUAAAGCUUCAGAAAAAAGCAGUAAAACUUCAGAAAAAAGCAGUAAAGCUUUAGAAGAAAGCAGUAGUUCACAGAAAUAGCUCAUUGGGAGAAAAGCUCAAGGAACCCUCUGUUUUGUUCAUUGUGGCCAAGCGCUUGAUGACGGGAGCCGCUGAAAUGUCAUUAGAUGCAAGGCAGUUCCCCGAAACCCCUUUGUGUAGGAAGCCACUUGGAGCAAAUCCGGAUGAAGACCUUGAGUUUAUUUAACACCUGAAUACAGAACUGGGCUUGGCUCAACAA